AUGACUCUCGGCAAUGGAUAUCUUGAUUCUUGCAUCAAUGAAGAACGUAUAAAAAUGUGAUACUUGGUGUGAAUUGCAGAAUCAUGUGAACCAUCUAGUCUUUGAAUGCAAGUUGCACCCAAAGAUAUUAAGCUGAGCGUAUGUCUGCCUGGGUGUCACAUAUCGCGUCACCCCACUCGCAUCACACCAUAAUCAUAGGGUGUGUUGUCAUUGUGGGGUAGAUAUUGGCCGUUCGUUCACCUCAAGCUCACGGCUGGCCUAAAUGUGAGUGCACAUCGAUUGACGGCGCAACAAGUGCUGGUUGUAACUCAACUUUCUUUUUUGUUGCGGCUACAACCUGCCGUGCGUCCGGACUCAAAGACACUAUUGUGCUUAAGUGGUCUGACCGUGAACCCAGGUUAGGCGGGAUUACUCAUUGAGUUUAAGAAUAUCAAGAAGCAGAGGAAAAGAAACUUACAACGAUUCCCUUAGUAAUGACGAGCAAAAUGGGAACAUGCCAGCCUUAGAAUUGGGCGGAUCCAUCAUCUAUAUUGUAGUCUGGAGAUGCGUCCUCAGCGACAGACCAAGCUUAAGUCUUCUAAAAGGGUGAGCCAGAGAGGGUGAGAGCCCCGUUGUUCCCCGACCUUGUCGUACCACAAGGCGCUGUCUACGAGUCAGGUUGUUUAGGAAUAUAGCCUAAAUCGGGCGGUGAAUUCUGACCAAGGCUAAAUAUGAGCGAGAGACCAAUAGCGAACAAGUACCACGAGGGAAAGAUAAAAAAACUUUAAAAAGAGAGUCAAAUAGUGCUUUAAAUUGUUUGGACAGAAGAGGAUGGGGGCCUGUGAUAUGCCCCGAUUAGACCAACGUGGAUUAGGGGGCGGCCAAAGCUCAAGCUCCUGAUACACUCGUGAAAUGCCGUCUCCUUAAUUGUGGCAGGCAGCGCAUGUCUGUGGCAUGAUUCGGCAUCUACCCGCUCUAGACGCUGGCCUAUGGGCUCCCCAUUUGACCCAUUUUGAAAUAUGGACCAAGGAGUGUGACAUGUGUGUGGGUCAAUGGGCGAGUAAACCAGUAAGGCGUAAGGAAGCUGAUUGGUUGGAUCAUCCUAAGGGGUAUAUCACCGACUGACCUUCAACUUCUAUGAAGGGUUCAAGUGUGAGAAUACCUAUCAGAACUCAAAAGGUGGUGAACUCUACCUUAGCUUGGAAAAGCCAAAGAAAACUAUGGUAGAGGCCUACAAUGAUACUGACGUGAAAAUUAUUCGUCUGACUUGGGUAUGGGGCGAAAGACUAAUCGAACAGUCUAGUAGCUGGUUCCAUCAGAAGUUUCCCUCAGGAUAACUGGAGCUCACGUGAAAGUUCUAUCUGGUAAAGCCAAUGAUUAGAGGCCUUGGGGGCACAACUCCCUCGAGCUAUUCUCAAACUUUAAAUAGGUCGGUGUGGCUGAUUUGUUGAGCUGUGCUACGGAAUCAAGAGGUAUAAGUGGGCUAUUUUUAGUAAGUAGAAUUAGUGAUGAGGGAUGAACCGGAAUCCGGGUUACGGUGCCAAACUGUGCGCUAACCUAGAUCCUACAAAGGGUGUUGGUCAAUUAAGACAGCAGGAUGGUGGUCAUGGAAGUCGAAAUUCACUAAGGAUUGUGUAAUAACUAACUUGACGAAACAAAUAGCCUCAAAAAUGGAUGAUGCUUAAGCGCGCGACCUACACCCAGCCAUCGGGGCAAGUGCCAAGCCCCGAUGAGUAGGAGGGCAAGACGGUCACUACAAAACCAUAGGUGCGAGGCUAGGCAAAGCGGCCAUUGGUACAGAUCUUAGUGGUAGUAGCAAAUAUUCAAAUGAGAACUUUGAAGGCCGAAGAGAGGAAAGGUUCCAUAUGAAUGGCACUUGCACAUGGGUUAGGCGAUCCUAAGGGUCGGGGGAACCCCCAUAAAUAGCAUGUUUCACGUGUACCUUGAAAAUAAAUCGAGUUAAAAUUCUUGAACCGUCCAUGACCGAUCGUACUCAUAGUCGCAUCAGGUCUCCAUGGUAAAUAACCUCUGGUCGAUGGAAUAAUGUAGGCAAGGAAAGUUGGAAAAAUAGAUUGAUAACUUUGAAAAAAGGAUUGGCUCUGAGGGAUGGGGAUGGGAUUCCCAGUCCUGAACCCGUCGGCUUUCGGUGGACUGCUUGAGCUACUCUUGCAGUGAGAGCGGGUCACUACAGGCCGGCCAGGGGAUGAACUGGGAAUGGUUCCUUCGGGGGCCUUCCCCGCGCUUUGAACAGCCAACUCAGAACUGGUACAGACAAGGAGAAUCCGACUAUUUAAUUAAAACAAAGCAUUGCGAUGGUCCUAACAGAUCUUCACGCAAUGUGAUUUCUGCCUAGUGAUCUGAAUGUCAAAGUGAAGAAAUUCAACCACGCGCAUGUAAAUGGUGUGAGUAACCAUGACUCUCUUAAGGUAGACAAAAAACUUUUCAUAUAAUUUGUGACGUGUAUGAAUGGAUUCAUGAGAUUCCUACUAUCCCUAUCUACUAUCCAGCAAAACCACAGCCAAGGGAACGGGCUUGGAAAAAUAAGAAGGGAAAGAAGACCCUGUUGAACUUGACUCAAGUCAAAGUUUGUGAAAUGACUUGAGAGGUGUAGUAAAAGGAGAAAGUGAAUACAACUACUUUUAAUGUUAUUUUACUUAUUCCAUGAAUUGAAAGUGGGGCACUGCCCCUCUUUUUGGACCCAAGGCUUGCUCCGUGGGCUGAUCUGGGUGAAAGAAAUUGUCAGGUGGAAAGUUUGGCUGGGGCGGCACAUCUUUAAAAAUAUAACAUAAGUGUCAUAAGAUGAGCACAAUGAGAACAGAAAUAUCAUGUGGAACAGAAGGGUAAAAGCUCGUUUGAUUUUGAUUUCCAGUACGAAUACGAACCGUGAAUGCAUGGGCUAAUGAUUCUUUAUACCUUGAAAAUUGGAAGCUAGAGUUGUCAGAAAAGUUAACGCAGGGAUAACUGGCUUAUGGAAGCCAAGCAUUCAUAGAGAACGUGAACUAGGUUUAGAACAUCCCGAGAUAGGUUCCUAUUACCCUAGUGAUGACCGUGUCGCAAUUGUAAUUCAACGUAGUACAAGCAAAAUCGUUGAUUCACACAAUUAGUCUUCGCGCUUGGUUGAAAAGCCAGUGGCGCGAAGCUACUGCGUGCUGGAUUAUGAUUGAACACCUCUAAGUUAGAAUUUGGGCUAAAAGCGAUGCAUGCACCAGUUGUUCUCUUACCGACCCACAGUAGGGGUCUCAGCCCCCAAGGGCACGUGUCGUUACCUAAGCCUUCAUAGUGGAAAGGACGCAGUGUC
rnacentral:rRNA from 1 species